rnacentral:lncRNA from 1 species
CCUCCAUUUCUCUCUCCAAUUCUCCGUUCCUCCUCCGUAGCUCCUCCACCUCUUCCGCCGCCACCGUCACGUAAGCUCCUCCUUUUCCCAUUUUCUUUGAAUAUUGGAAACAAUUUGAUUUGGUGGUUCUGUUGCCUCUGUAAUGUAUGUGUACUUCUGUCUUGAGUUGUUGAUCCUUUUAAUAAGCGUUUUGGCCUUGGGAUGCUAGGUGUCCAGGUUCAAUGUAUCUCGUGGUUUUUAUUUUCUUAUGACAAAUCAGUGUCUGUCGUGUUUCUUUGAAAAGUAACCACACGUGGCACAUUAUAGGUAUUUGACUAUUGCAGAUCUUUUUCUGAUAAAUAAUUCAUUAGUUUUUUUUUUUUGAGAAAGGGCUUACUAAUAAUUCACUAGUUUUUGCGUGGAACAUUUACCAAUACUCCUUUUUUUUAUCCUAACGUUUUAGGGUAUGAGAAUCCAUUUUGUGGGUACCAGAAAGUUUCAUUCUUUUCUAAUACACCUAUUUAAUUUUUUCGAAUAUUUAUUUCAAAUUAAAUUUAAUUAUAUUUUCGACUAAACUAAGAUGUGAAGAUUAAUUAUCACAAAUUGUGAGAACACACAUAUAAUACUAUAUAUUAUUGACACCUAAUGCAAAAUCAAUUGGUUAUGAAUAUACUAGCUUUUUCUUUAGAUAUCAUUAUAUAUCUCAAAUUUUGGUGUGGUAUUAGUCUAAUAAAAAGUUUAAAACAUAGUUUGGAUAUGAAUCAUACGAUUCAGUUACAUCAACACAAAUAUAACAUGUAUAUAUCAAUAUUGAGCGGGCCUUGUGGUCGAGUGGUAGUGGACGGGUCUUGGAUGCAAAUACAUUCCGGAUUCGAUCUUCCUGCUGCGGAAACUAAGUCACAUUUUUCUGUUCACAAUGGCUACGGAUAUGUCCGUAUGAAAAUCCGGGAGAGGGUCUGUCGUAGACUGCGCCUCCCACUCGAAGGUUAAGUCUGUAUCUUUAAUAGACAUGGGUUUAACCCCCAUAUCAAUAUUGAUACAUGUAUAUCCGACGUACUACUAGUUACUAGUAAUCUAUACCGGCUAGAAUAUGUUGUUGGAAUUCGUUUUUGAUAAAGUGGUGUGAACCAAUUUUUCUAUGGAUUUUCGACGGAGACGUCUAUCGGAAGGACCGAAACUUGGGCACGUCACUGUGAACACUAUGAAUUAGUGUAUUUUUUUUGUCAAAAUCAGAAUUAUGUUGAAUGAGAAAUGGAGGUCCAAAGUAAGUGACUUAUAAAACUUUAAAUUUGGCUAAACAGAAUUUUUUUAACAAAUAAAUCACUUUGAAUAUUUGGAUUUGAAUUUAAAAUUGAUUUUGUUAGUUCGGCAAUAUGUCAAUUAACUUAAUCUUUCUAAUUUUAUUUGUAGUGAUCUUUUAUGUUUUAUUGGAACAUAAAAAUGCAAACCCAUAUAGACUAUUGUUGACUUUGAUUUGUUUGGUCAAAACCAUUUAUUACUUUGCUCACUAACUUGAGUAAUGUAGAAUCAAUUCUCAUUAUUACGAUAGUUUACUCUAUGAUCACAUAACUUACGUUUUGACUUUUGAAGUUAUAUAUCAAUACGUGAAACUCAUUGAUAAGAUACAUUGGAAAGAAAACCAUUGAUCAACAAUUCCUCACAUUAUUAAUUUUCUCUUUCUCUUUGAUAUUUUUUUUGAGUCCGAAAAUAUAAGCAAAACUAGUUUCGCCAGGUUUCUAAAAGAGUAAUGCAGAUCAGAAAAUUCUUUGCAGUUGUAUCAUGUGACUCAUUACGUUAUUGAAUCAUCGCACUAUAGGACGUAUUUUGAGUUAAGGAAACAGAUAAUAUCUCGACUCUACGAUUGUAUCAUUAUUUUUCGUACUCUUUGGUAUAAUUUUAUCAAUUUAAUUUUUUACAAUAUAUAGUUCUCCAUAGUUUAUAUAUUACUGUUCUAUCAUAUGCAAGUUCAUUAAUAAGGUAUGAGCACAACAUGUUAAAUAAUGUGGCACGAAGGCCUGACUCCAGAGCCAAGUAGUUCAACAAUGUGUAUUUUGUUGUAAAUAAAGAGAGAAAGAGAGAAUUAGUUGUUCUUAUUCAUAACAUAAUGUGCCUUUUAUAUAUAGGGAAUUACAAGAGGUAUAGACCGUCAUAGAUAAAUGAAAAGAUUACAAAUCAUAAACUAAUAAGAAAAAUAAAAUCCUAAUCAUACAAAGAAAAGGAAAACCAUGAGAAAAGGAAAAGUCUAAACCGCCUUUGGUUAUGACAUUCACUUAAACGGUUCAUAACACUCCCCCUUGAAUGUUAUAACCAUUAAGAGCUCGUAAUACGCUUUGGAUGUUGUCUCAUUAAAACCUUACCAGUAAAACCCAAAGGGAUAAAACCAUGGUUAAGGAAAAAGAGUACAACACGUAUUACUCCCCCUGAUUUGUACCUCACUGAAGGUCUUUCAGUCGACGCAUCCCAAUCUGAUGUGUAAGCUUCUUGAAUGUAGAGGUCGGAAGUGACUUAGUGAAUAGGUCGGCUGAAUUUUCACUUGAACGAACUUGUAGCACUUGGACCUCGCCGACAGAUUUGACACUCCUCACUGAAACUUGAAUAUCUUGAUGACCGUAGGACCAAAUGACUUCGAAACACUUGGAAAUCGAAGCUAACAUCCAUGUAUAACUUCAGGCACACAUCUAGAUCUUGGAAGAUGAGAAUAUCUAGCAAUAUUUGGGAUAUCGGUCGAAAUUAGGUAUUCUGAGACAGCUUGGACAUGUCUCACAAAAAGUCAACAAUGACGACUUUCGAUCUUAGUACUAUCAUACAUAAGCAAAAUCACAUGUAAUAAUGAUUCAAAAAAAGUAAUCCUUUUAAACUACAACAAAUGAUGGUCUAAAUACCAGUUUCUGAUUUGAUAACCGGACUCCAGCUGGUUCCUUAAUAAGUGUCUUUGGUCGCAAUGGUACCGAAGACUCAUAAUCAGAAUCAAUGCGUCGGUUACUGAUGCUUCCCGCGAUGAUGGUUGGAGAUCGACUACCUAACCCCAAGAUCUGAGGGAGAAGUCAACCUACUUGCUUACUUAACGACCAUCUCAAAUGUUAUAUAUUAUAAAACCAUAGUCAAACCAUAUCAAUGUUAGCAAAACCGUCGCGUAACCCCGGCACACCCCUAAUAUAUAUCCCCCAUAAUACACGUUACACCAAUUGAUCCAUUCCAGUUAAAAUUAUAUGUCGUUUGCUCUGAUCCCUUAGAAAUUCAUGAUAUUGGAUCCAUGGAAGAAUUAAUAUAAGGAUAUUCUAUUUUUUCUAAUGUUUUUCACACAAUUUCUCUUUUUGUCACAUACGCACAUCAUAUUUUGAUUAAUAUGCUACAUUUGAUUCAUCUUCUAACCAAACAAAGAACGUAAGUGAUAGUUCUAUUUGUUUUUGUUUUUAUUUUUUAACGCUUACUAACGCAAAAAUCUAAUAAUACAAUGUUCUAGGAACCAUUGUCGAAUGAUAGAGAAACACAAUGAGCUAUACUUGUAAAUUUGUAAUGAAAAACAUCAUAGGAAUAAUGAGGAAUGAUAAUUUCUUAUCAAAAUUAAUGAAGAACAAUUUUUUUCUAUAAUUUUGUACAAUAAAAGGAACGCGAAAAAAUAGAAAGAAAAAUUAUUCCUCAUGAAUGAUAAAAGUUUUAAGGAAUGUUAAGGAGUUUAAUGUUCCUUUUCAUUGUUUUAGUCACCAUCUAAAGUUAUAUACAAAAUAAAAGAUCACUUUCAUGAGAAGGAGCGAGCAUUAGAUAUUUAGAUCCUUCCUGAACUCACCAAUAGGUGAUAUAACAAUUGGUCAAAAGAGCAACAGAACAACUGAACAACUGACCAUCUCAGGAGAAGAAACAAACCAGAGUUUUGGUUAAUUCAAAUCAAACCUCAUGGUAGCUUUACUUCAGGUUGUAGCUUCCUCAUCCAAAAAACAUUGCAACUAUUAGGAGUUAUGCCAAGCAAUAUAUAAUUGAACACAGUGAUCAUGAGAAACACUGCACAAAAUCUCAAUAACAACAUGAUUUCAUGUCAACCUCGACUCGUUGUCCAGCGAACAAAGUGCAAUUCAUCGAACCCCGGCACGACUAGAAGCAAUCAGUAUGAUAACCUAAACACUGAUCAGGAUGUAGUACAACUCCAAGAAACCUUACAAAUUUUUUUUUCUGGUCCAAAUUUUACAAAAUUAAUAUAACUUGGUUGACAUAGAAUAGCUAGAAAAAUGAAAAAACCGGAAACAGAACAUCACCAACCCAACCACCGAACAAUAUUCCUCAAAAACGAAAGCUAAAGGAGGCAGAGACGAUAAAACAGAGAAGAGCACAACCCGGACAGAACAAAUCAAUGAAGACUAGCGUUGUCUGAGUGAAACCGUUGGAAGACUCACAAAGAAAAAGACAUGAAAGAGACAAAGCGAAGAGAGAACCUCGACGGCUGACCUCUAACUGAGGCCAGUCCAUAGCAAAAGAGAUGACGAGCCAUCACAACCUUGAUCACCCAUCGACGACGGAGUGACACGCCUGAUCUGUAACCGUCAAACCAUCGACUUGGUUAUUUUCUAUAACUGUAUCAGGUCACACACAAUUCUAUUCAUUAUUGAAUGAAAGUAUUUUAACAAUUCUAACCUCAUGUCAUAAACUCAUAUACCUUAUAUACACCCAUAAAACAUUAAAUAUAUAUAUAUAUAUAUGUGUGUAAAUAUAUAUUUAUAAGUUUAUAGAAUAUAAAGUUAUUAGAAUUAGGAUUAGAAUAUUUUAGGUCACACAAUUUUUUUUUUAAUUUUUAGAAUGAUUCUCUUUUAAUAGUAUAGAUUACAAAAUCAUAAAUCAAAUAGUUUAUUCAAAUUUAUAUACUAUUAGAAAGUAUAUUUUUCUAAAAAUAUAUCAUCAGAUUUAUAUAAGUUUUUAUCAGACUAACCAUUAUCGGAUAGCGGAUUAAUAAUGGGCUUUUGAGUUUUUAUCAAAUAUUAUCAGAUUUUUACUUCUCAUGUUUUAACUAAACCCGAACCGGAUUAUGCAUAGAUCACCAAAUUUACCUGUUUGACCAAGGGUCUGUGUCAUAUACAAAAACACUGAUAAAAAAAAUUAACAACCCUAUAAAUCUAUGCUAAAUAAAUCUUAUAUAAAGAUGAUGUUGUAAAAGAAAAGUGUACAUAAAAAUUUCAAAUAAACUAAUUGAUGAAUUAUAUAAUUUUAAACAACAAAUCAAUUUCUUCUUUGAUAAAAUACAAUUUUGUAAUUUGAUAGUGUACAUCAAAACAAUAACAUUAAUUUAUAUUGUUAUUGUCGGAAGAAAACUCAAAGCGCGGAACAAAAUCUAGUUACUCAUUGUUUCACAAGACAAGUCCAUAAGAAUUGUGCUCCCAAAGUCCGACCAUUCUACGAAAACCCAGCAUGAAUUAACAUAAAUAGUUAAUCAUUAUUAUUUUUAUGAAUCAUACAUGGGUAUUCUGGCUCCACAUAAUUAGUCAGGCUAGUCACGUGUUGCCACAUGUGGAUUCUCUGUCCUUGGUGAUGCCAAAAUGUUAAUUCUCCGGUGGCCGGGUUUUAUAUUGAAAACACAAGAUUUGCCCAUAUAGAUCGUUUCGUAAACAUAUAAUCCUUAACGGAUCUGUACACACAUCCACAACAAUAUACAAGUAACUAUAGUAAAAUCUACUAGGAAACGACGGACAAAGAAGAGAGACGUGAGAUUUGAUCCAUGAGGAAGACCACACGAUCGUGAUAGUCACGAGCCUGAUCUAGAGACUCGACCUCCAGCUCCGCUAGCUGCGAGCAGAGUCUCUCCUCGGCCUCUUCUGCCACCACUGUCCGCCGCCACAACUCCAACAUAGCCGUCUUCAUCUCCUCUACUUCUCUCUCGAGCUCUCUGCUCCUCCUCCGUAACUCCUCCAUCUCUUCCGCCUCCACCAUCACGUAACCUCCUUUCGCAAUUAAUUAAAUAAGUUGCAGUCUCUACGUACAAAGGAUUUAUUAUUGUGGUUUGGUUUUCUUCUUUUUUGAAGUUAGAGUGUUAGGGUUAGACGAUGUCCUUUAAUAAGCAUCUUGUGUGGUAGCUUUAGCUUGUCCAGGUUCAAUGAAUCUAUCUGUUGUUGAUAUUUACUCCCUCCGUUUCGAAUUAGAUAUCGUUUUAGAGCAAAAUUUUCGUUUCAAAAUUAGUGUCGUUUUAUGAUUUCAAUGCAAAAUUUAUUGACUUUUUAUUCUAAUCUAUUUUUCUAUUGGUUGAAAUCUGGUUAGGUGUAUUGGUAAUGAUAUUUUUAUCUAGUAAAUAGAUAAACUUAAAUGUUUUAUUAAUCUGUGUGUCGAAAGUAAAAUGAAACGGAGGGAGUAUUUUUUCCUAUCUUCUGUUUGGGUCAACAUUUUCUCCUUUAGAAUUGCUUAGAAAUUUAAACCACUCCUGACUUAUAUACUACUAUUACGGAGAACAAUAAAUAACUUGUAUUUUCAAAAGAAUAGAAGAAAAUAAAAUAUAAGCUUUUUUUCAAAAUGAACAAUUUUUUUUCCAUCACAUUUGAAAUUCAUUAAUUUAUCAUGCAUACAAAAUAAAAAGCCGAAUUUCCAGUUUUUUACUUAUUUAUAAAACAAAAUUUUAUUCAUAUGAUAUAUAUAGUACAGUAUCAAUACGAUUAGGGUGUAAGAGCAUCAUUAGUAAUGGUUUCUUAAAUUGAGUCUCUCAACAAUAAGUUUAAUAAUACUUUAACAUUAAACAAUUUUAUAAUUAAAACUAAAAAUGUUAAAAUUUGAUGGAGUUACAUGUGUAGAAUAGGUUUCUUCAAGAGGGUCAAACGUUUCUUCUCUCUGAAUCGUUUCUCCACUUUUCCAAUGUUUCUCUCAUACUUUUGAGUAUUAUUUUUAGCACAAGAAACUCUUACAAAAAAGAGCCACUGGGGAUGGCCUAAUAUAAUAAUCAAGAAUCGCAGUGCCGUGGUUUACUGGAGUUCAAUGAUAUAAUAUUUGUUCUUUCUUAUAUAAACAUAAUAUUUUCUCACAGUAAAUUUGGUCCGUCGAUUUGUAUUUGCGUCAGUGAUCAGAUGUAUGGCAGUAUAUGGCUGUGGUGUAACACUCUCAGCCUUAAUUUUGAUUUUUUUUUUAAAUGAAUGGUAUACAUUGAUUACCGAGUAAAGUACUGGGGCUACUACCACAAUUCCCUUCGCUUCCCUGUUAUCUCUCUCUAUAUCCUUCACAGGGACGAAGAGGAAGGAAUAAAAAUUCUUUUGUUUUUUUGUUUUGAUCUUGUGUUUCGGCUAGUCUGACUCCACUUUCCCUUUUAGCGGAUUCUCUUUCGGCUAAAUCGGAUCUUAAUUUCGCAAGGCGAGUUUUGUUGUGUAUAUAUAACAACUACACCGGAACAAUUUCUUCAAGACAUUUCUUGUAUCUCGGAGUUUAAAAAAAAAUGGUAAACCAUUCUCUGGAGAAAGAAUGUGAAAGCCCCGGUGGCCACGCGCGUGGAAAUUUGGUGUGGUGCGGAUUCGAACUCGGGUCCUUUGGGAACCCACGCAACUCUGGUCCCUUUUCUCUCCGAGUUUAGUUGAUUAAUCAAAGCUUCAGCUCUCUCCUUCUUGUUAUAUUCCGGCUGCUUUCUUAGGAGUUUCUUCCUAGUUGUUGGUUAUGCUCAAUCUCUAUCCUCCGACGAUAUCAAUCUUUGCAGUACAUAUUUCCGGCAAAGUGUUCUUAGGAGAUACAGAUUCGAGUUUUGCUUGUUAGCGGCUUUGAUCCGACCUAAGAAGAGUCAAAGCUUGCUAGUUGGCAGGUGUUUUGGCAAUGGCGGUUUUGAAUCGAUUGAAGUUAUUAGGAGGGUUUCACAUCCAACAAAGAGAAAGGAUCUACUUGGGAACAGAGGCGCACAAAGAGCAAAGCAAAAUCGAGCUUGGGAUUUGACGAGGUACCAAGCUGAGUACGGAUCGACACUGACGGAGAAGCAUCUGAGCGGCGGAUCAGUGGCGGAGCUCUGGUGAAGCGGCGCUGGAGAUGGCAACUUACACAUGAAAGCCGCGUGCCUCAUACGUGUUACUGAGAUGCUUAGAAUCAAACACGUGUACCCAAAUGUGUCGGUUUAUAGAAUUAAAAUUGUAAUCAUGUUAAUUUUGUUACCGGACCUCUAUGUUUAUAGCCCCACUCUUGUAAACAUGCCAUUUGGGCUUUUAUAAUGAAAUGGGUUGACAAAAAAAUAGUGGGGCUACAAAUAUUGACAUAUACAUUGUCAUCCAAUAGACUUUUAUAUUUAUAUUGAUCGAAUUAUAUUUUUUUAUAAAUUUAUAUCGACAACCAAUCAGGGGUGGACGUACUCACAACGGAAUGAGGUCACGUGCCCCCUACUGAUUUUUGUUUUCCAUAAAGUAGCAUAAAUUAAUUUAACUAGUGGAAGCCCCCUUAGUCCAAUGGUUUGAUUAAGGGUUCACUAAUGCUUCUACACCAGCAGGUCCAGGUUUCAAUUCCCGGAGAAAGCGAUUUAUUAAACAAUUAUGCAGGCUACGGAGGAAAGGCUUACAAGGGAUCUUCAACACGGUGCAAGUAAACUCGGCCAGGCGUGAUCUUCGUAGGACGGCUCAGGUGAUGCAGUUAGGCGUAGAUCUUUAUAAGGCAGGUAGUAUUGUCAGUUGUCGGAUCGUCUAUGUAAUCUUUCUCAUAAUUGUAAUAUCAUAAUAAAUCAGCGUUAAAAAUUUAACUAAAUAAUGUUAGUUUACUGAAGAAAACUGAAAAUGUGCCCCCA